GUGGGGAAUCUUCCGCAAUGGACGAAAGUCUGACGGAGCAACGCCGCGUGAGUGAAGAAGGUUUUCGGAUCGUAAAGCUCUUUCGUUAGGGACGAACGUGCUCUUUGUGAAUAAUGAGGAGUAAUGACGGUACCUAAAUAAGAAGCCACGGCUAACUACGUGCCAGCAGCCGCGGUAAUACGUAGGUGGCAAGCGUUGUCCGGAAUUAUUGGGCGUAAAGCGCGCGCAGGCGGGAUAUCAAGUCUGUCUUAAAAGUGCGAGGCUCAACCUCGUGAGGGGACAGAAACUGGUAUUCUUGAGUGUCGGAGAGGAAAGUGGAAUUCCAAGUGUAGCGGUGACAUGCGUAGAGAUUUGGAAGAACACCAGUGGCGAAGGCGACUUUCUGGACGAUGUCUGACGCUGAGGCGCGAAAGCUAGGGGAGCGAACGGGAUUAGAUACCCCUGUAGUCC
rnacentral:rRNA from 1 species